rnacentral:misc_RNA from 1 species
CAGAGUUACAAGACUCCCUAAACCCUUGUGAACCUACCUUCUACUGUUGCCUUCGGCGGCGGCUCAGCCCCCCGCGCCCCGUAACGGGACGGCCCGCCGCAGGAUACCCAAACUCUGUAUUUAUUGUACCUCUCUGAGUAUUCUUAACUAAAUAAAUCA